rnacentral:rRNA from 1 species
AACGAACGCUGGCGGCAGGCUUAACACAUGCAAGUCGAACGAUCCUUCGGGAUAGUGGCAGACGGGUGAGUAACACGUGGGAACAUACCUAGUGGUACGGAAUAACUCAGGGAAACUUGUGUUAAUACCGUAUACGCCUCGGGGGAAAGAUUUAUCGCCAUUAGAUUGGCCCGCGUCUGAUUAGCUAGUUGGUGAGGUAACGGCUCACCAAGGCUACGAUCAGUAGCUGGUCUGAGAGGACGAUCAGCCACACUGGGACUGAGACACGGCCCAGACUCCUACGGGAGGCAGCAGUGGGGAAUAUUGGACAAUGGGCGAAAGCCUGAUCCAGCCAUGCCGCGUGAGUGACGAAGGCCCUAGGGUUGUAAAGCUCUUUUGGCAGGGACGAUAAUGACGGUACCUGCAGAAUAAGCCCCGGCUAACUUCGUGCCAGCAGCCGCGGUAAUU